GCCUGGAACGGUGGCACGUGCCUGUUGUCCCAGCUACUCGGGAGGCUGAGGUGGGAGGAUCGCUUGAGCCCAGGAGUUCUGGGCUGUAGUGCUAUGCCAAUCGAGUGUCUGCACUAAGUUCGGCAUCAGUAUGGUGACCUCCUGGGAGCGAGGGACCACCAGGUUGCCUAAGGAGGGGUGAACCGACCCAGGUCGGAAACGGAGCAGGCCAAAACUCCUGUGCUGAUCAGUAGUGGGAUCGUGCCUGUGAAUAGCCACUGCACUCCAGCCUGGGCAACAUAGCAAGAUCCUGUCUCU
rnacentral:SRP_RNA from 1 species